AUACGGAGGAUCCGAGCGUUAUCCGGAUUUAUUGGGUUUAAAGGGAGCGUAGGUGGAUUGUUAAGUCAGUUGUGAAAGUUUGCGGCUCAACCGUAAAAUUGCAGUUGAAACUGGCAGUCUUGAGUACAGUAGAGGUAGGCGGAAUUCGUUGUGUAGCGGUGAAAUGCAUAGAUAUGACGAAGAACACCGAUUGCGUAGGCAGCUGACCAGACCGCAAAUGACGCUCAUGCACGAAAGUGCGGGGAUCGAACAGGAUUAGAUACCCUGGUAGUCCGCACAGUAAACGAUGAAUACUUGUUUUCGGCGAUAUAAUGUCGGAGGCAAAGCGAAAGCGAUAAGUAUUCCACCUGGGGAGUACGCCGGCAACGGUGAAACUCAAAUGAAUUGACGGGG
rnacentral:rRNA from 1 species